rnacentral:RNase_P_RNA from 1 species
ACCAUCGGGCAAUCGAGCACCUUUACGGGUGUUAGGAAAGUCCAUGCUAGCACAGACUGGGAUGUCUGUAGUGUUUGCGCUAAACGAAACGAUAAGUUUAGGCAUCUCCUCGGAGAUGACGGCGGAGAAAGGAAUGUCAAAGGUCCGAGUAUCUGUAAAGUGCCACAGAGACGAAUCGCAUUGAACAAGUGCGGCUGAAACGCGGUAAACCCCACAAGCUAGAAACCCAAAUCAUGGUAGGGGCACGGUGCAUCGGGAAUCAAACCGAAUGCGCUGACGGGCACAGCCCGGAGAUAAAUGAUUGCCACUUUCUAUUUAGAGAGUACAGAACAUGGCUUAUAGAU